GCCGGCGGCGUGCCUAAUACAUGCAAGUAGAACGCUGAGGACUGGUGCUUGCACUGGUCUAAGGAGUUGCGAACGGGUGAGUAACGCGUAGGUAACCUACCUCAUAGCGGGGGAUAACUAUUGGAAACGAUAGCUAAUACCGCAUGACAAUAGGGUACACAUGUACCCUAUUUAAAAGGGGCAAAUGCUUCACUAUGAGAUGGACCUGCGUUGUAUUAGCUAGUUGGUAAGGUAACGGCUUACCAAGGCGACGAUACAUAGCCGACCUGAGAGGGUGAUCGGCCACACUGGGACUGAGACACGGCCCAGACUCCUACGGGAGGCAGCAGUAGGGAAUCUUCGGCAAUGGGGGGAACCCUGACCGAGCAACGCCGCGUGAGUGAAGAAGGUUUUCGGAUCGUAAAGCUCUGUUGUUAGAGAAGAACGGUAAUGGGAGUGGAAAAUCCAUUACGUGACGGUAACUAACCAGAAAGGGACGGCUAACUACGUGCCAGCAGCCGCGGUAAUACGUAGGUCCCGAGCGUUGUCCGGAUUUAUUGGGCGUAAAGCGAGCGCAGGCGGUUUGAUAAGUCUGAAGUUAAAGGCUGUGGCUUAACCAUAGUUCGCUUUGGAAACUGUCAAACUUGAGUGCAGAAGGGGAGAGUGGAAUUCCAUGUGUAGCGGUGAAAUGCGUAGAUAUAUGGAGGAACACCGGUGGCAAAAGCGGCUCUCUGGUCUGUAACUGACGCUGAGGCUCGAAAGCGU
rnacentral:rRNA from 1 species